AAAAGGCAGGAGGGUGCUAGUGCCCACGUGACUUCUCCCUUCUCUCUUCCCCGUUCGGUCAGGAACUUCCACAUCUCGCAGGCCCUCGGCCUGCUAUUCCCCACCCUGUGCGGGCUCCCAGAUCCCACCAGCAGGCAGCGAGGAGUCGCUGACAUUCGAAGAGGUGGCUGUGGACUUCACCCCAGCGGAGUGGGGGCAGCUGGUCCCUUCUCAGAAGGCGCUGUACAGGGAUGUGAUGCUGGAGCACUUGUGGAACCUGGCCUCCUUGGGACUUUGAGUUGCCAAACCAGAUGUGAUCCACCAGCUGGAGCUUGGCCAGGUACUUUGGAUACCAGAGAGAGAUGGCCCAAGAAGCACCUAUCCAGAUUGGGAGCUUAGCCUCCAACCCAAGCAGUCAGCUGCCAAGGUGGGCAUUUCUGCGGAAGAAGCAUCCCAGGAAAGAUUCACAAGACAUGCUGCCUUUGUCACCAAGCUGGGAGAAACCUGGGAAGCCCGUGACACUUUAGAUACACCAAACUGUGAAGAGAAACCUUAUGAAUGUAAUCACUGUGGGAAGGCCUUCCAUCAGAGGACAGGCCCAACUAAUCAUCAAAAAAUCCAUACAGGAGCUUAACCUUUUGAAUGUAAUGUCUGCGGGAAGGCCUUUCGUCGGAGCACACCCCUUACUCGACACCAGAGAAUUCACACUGGUGAGAAGCCUUAUGAAUGUAACAAGUGUAGAAAGGCCUUCCAUAGGAGGACAGGACUUAAUGAACAUCAAAAAAUUCACACCGGGGAGAAACCUUAUGCAUGUAAUGCUUGUGGAAUGGCCUUUCGCUGGAGCACAGGACUUCUUUGACAUCAGGAAGUUCAUACUGGGGAGAAAUCUUAUGAAUGUAACAUAUGUGGGUUGGCUUUCUUUGAGAGAAAGUCACUCGCUCAACAUCAAAGGAUUCAUACUGGAGAGAAACAUUAUAAAUGUAACGCGUGUGGGAUGACUUUCUUCAAGAGGAAAUCCCUUACUCAGCAUCAGCGAAUUCACCCUGGAAAGAAACCCUAUGAAUGUAACGAAUGUGGGGAGGCCUUCUUCUGGAAGACAGGUCUUGUUUGCCACUGAAUAGUUCAUUCUGGAGAGAAACCUCAUAAAGGUAAUGGAUGUGGGAAGGCUUUCUCUUGCAAGGCAGGACUUACUCAACAUGGGACAAUUCAUAUGGGAGAGAAGCCCUACAAAUGUAACAAAUGUGGAAGGCCUUCCGGCAGAGCACACAUCUUGCUCAGCAUCCGUGUUCACACUGGACAGAAACCUUGUGAGUGUCACAGAUGUGGAAGACGGGACUUAUUCAACAUGAGAGAAUUCACACUUGAGAGAAAUGUCAGGAAUGAGGUGUGUACGGGAAGGUCUGCUGCGGGCUGCGUCACCUUUUCAACAUCAUAAAAUUCAUGUGGCAGAGAA